rnacentral:rRNA from 1 species
GAUGAACGCUGGCGGCGUGCUUAACACAUGCAAGUCGAACGAAACACCUUAUUUGAUUUUCUUCGGAACUGAAGAUUUGGUGAUUGAGUGGCGGACGGGUGAGUAACGCGUGGGUAACCUGCCCUGUACAGGGGGAUAACAGUCAGAAAUGACUGCUAAUACCGCAUAAGACCACAGCACCGCAUGGUGCAGGGGUAAAAACUCCGGUGGUACAGGAUGGACCCGCGUCUGAUUAGCUGGUUGGUGAGGUAACGGCUCACCAAGGCGACGAUCAGUAGCCGGCUUGAGAGAGUGAACGGCCAAAUUGGGACUGAGACACGGCCCAAACUCCUACGGGAGGCAGCAGUGGGGAAUAUUGCACAAGGGGGGAAACCCUGAUGCAGCGACGCCGCGUGAGUGAAGAAGUAUUUCGGUAUGUAAAGCUCUAUCAGCAGGGAAGAAAAUGACGGUACCUGACUAAGAAGCCCCGGCUAACUACGUG